GGUUAAGCGACUAAGCGUACACGGUGGAUGCCCUGGCAGUCAGAGGCGAUGAAGGACGUGCUAAUCCGCGAUAAGCGUCGGUGAGGUGAUAUGAACCGUUAUAACCGGCGAUUUCCGAAUGGGGAAACCCAGUGUGUUUCGACACACUAUCAUUAACUGAAUCCAUAGGUUAAUGAGGCGAACCGGGGGAACUGAAACAUCUAAGUACCCCGAGGAAAAGAAAUCAACCGAGAUUCCCCCAGUAGCGGCGAGCGAACGGGGAGGAGCCCAGAGCCUGAAUCAGUGUGUGUGUUAGUGGAAGCGUCUGGAAAGGCGCGCGAUACAGGGUGACAGCCCCGUACACAAAAAUGCACAUAUUGUGAGCUCGAUGAGUAGGGCGGGACACGUGGUAUCCUGUCUGAAUAUGGGGGGACCAUCCUCCAAGGCUAAAUACUCCUGACUGACCGAUAGUGAACCAGUACCGUGAGGGAAAGGCGAAAAGAACCCCGGCGAGGGGAGUGAAAAAGAACCUGAAACCGUGUACGUACAAGCAGUGGGAGCCUCUUUAUGGGGUGACUGCGUACCUUUUGUAUAAUGGGUCAGCGACUUAUAUUCUGUAGCAAGGUUAACCGAAUAGGGGAGCCGAAGGGAAACCGAGUCUUAACUGGGCGUUAAGUUGCAGGGUAUAGACCCGAAACCCGGUGAUCUAGCCAUGGGCAGGUUGAAGGUUGGGUAACACUAACUGGAGGACCGAACCGACUAAUGUUGAAAAAUUAGCGGAUGACUUGUGGCUGGGGGUGAAAGGCCAAUCAAACCGGGAGAUAGCUGGUUCUCCCCGAAAGCUAUUUAGGUAGCGCCUCGUGAAUUCAUCUCCGGGGGUAGAGCACUGUUUCGGCAAGGGGGUCAUCCCGACUUACCAACCCGAUGCAAACUGCGAAUACCGGAGAAUGUUAUCACGGGAGACACACGGCGGGUGCUAACGUCCGUCGUGAAGAGGGAAACAACCCAGACCGCCAGCUAAGGUCCCAAAGUCAUGGUUAAGUGGGAAACGAUGUGGGAAGGCCCAGACAGCCAGGAUGUUGGCUUAGAAGCAGCCAUCAUUUAAAGAAAGCGUAAUAGCUCACUGGUCGAGUCGGCCUGCGCGGAAGAUGUAACGGGGCUAAACCAUGCACCGAAGCUGCGGCAGCGACACUAUGUGUUGUUGGGUAGGGGAGCGUUCUGUAAGCCUGUGAAGGUGGCCUGUGAGGGUUGCUGGAGGUAUCAGAAGUGCGAAUGCUGACAUAAGUAACGAUAAAGCGGGUGAAAAGCCCGCUCGCCGGAAGACCAAGGGUUCCUGUCCAACGUUAAUCGGGGCAGGGUGAGUCGACCCCUAAGGCGAGGCCGAAAGGCGUAGUCGAUGGGAAACAGGUUAAUAUUCCUGUACUUGGUGUUACUGCGAAGGGGGGACGGAGAAGGCUAUGUUGGCCGGGCGACGGUUGUCCCGGUUUAAGCGUGUAGGCUGGUUUUCCAGGCAAAUCCGGAAAACCAAGGCUGAGGCGUGAUGACGAGGCACUACGGUGCUGAAGCGACAAAUGCCCUGCUUCCAGGAAAAGCCUCUAAGCAUCAGGUAACAUCAAAUCGUACCCCAAACCGACACAGGUGGUCAGGUAGAGAAUACCAAGGCGCUUGAGAGAACUCGGGUGAAGGAACUAGGCAAAAUGGUGCCGUAACUUCGGGAGAAGGCACGCUGAUAUGUAGGUGAAGCGACUUGCUCGUGGAGCUGAAAUCAGUCGAAGAUACCAGCUGGCUGCAACUGUUUAUUAAAAACACAGCACUGUGCAAACACGAAAGUGGACGUAUACGGUGUGACGCCUGCCCGGUGCCGGAAGGUUAAUUGAUGGGGUUAGCGGUAACGCGAAGCUCUUGAUCGAAGCCCCGGUAAACGGCGGCCGUAACUAUAACGGUCCUAAGGUAGCGAAAUUCCUUGUCGGGUAAGUUCCGACCUGCACGAAUGGCGUAAUGAUGGCCAGGCUGUCUCCACCCGAGACUCAGUGAAAUUGAACUCGCUGUGAAGAUGCAGUGUACCCGCGGCAAGACGGAAAGACCCCGUGAACCUUUACUAUAGCUUGACACUGAACAUUGAGCCUUGAUGUGUAGGAUAGGUGGGAGGCUUUGAAGUGUGGACGCCAGUCUGCAUGGAGCCGACCUUGAAAUACCACCCUUUAAUGUUUGAUGUUCUAACGUUGGCCCGUAAUCCGGGUUGCGGACAGUGUCUGGUGGGUAGUUUGACUGGGGCGGUCUCCUCCUAAAGAGUAACGGAGGAGCACGAAGGUUGGCUAAUCCUGGUCGGACAUCAGGAGGUUAGUGCAAUGGCAUAAGCCAGCUUGACUGCGAGCGUGACGGCGCGAGCAGGUGCGAAAGCAGGUCAUAGUGAUCCGGUGGUUCUGAAUGGAAGGGCCAUCGCUCAACGGAUAAAAGGUACUCCGGGGAUAACAGGCUGAUACCGCCCAAGAGUUCAUAUCGACGGCGGUGUUUGGCACCUCGAUGUCGGCUCAUCACAUCCUGGGGCUGAAGUAGGUCCCAAGGGUAUGGCUGUUCGCCAUUUAAAGUGGUACGCGAGCUGGGUUUAGAACGUCGUGAGACAGUUCGGUCCCUAUCUGCCGUGGGCGCUGGAGAACUGAGGGGGGCUGCUCCUAGUACGAGAGGACCGGAGUGGACGCAUCACUGGUGUUCGGGUUGUCAUGCCAAUGGCACUGCCCGGUAGCUAAAUGCGGAAGAGAUAAGUGCUGAAAGCAUCUAAGCACGAAACUUGCCCCGAGAUGAGUUCUCCCUGAGACUUAGAGUCUCCUGAAGGAACGUUGAAGACGACGACGUUGAUAGGCCGGGUGUGUAAGCGCAGCGAUGCGUUGAGCUAACCGGUACUAAUGAACCGUGAGGCUUAACCUU
rnacentral:rRNA from 1 species